GCAGUCAUGGUUCAGUGGUAGAAUUCUCGCUUUCCAUGCAGGAGACCUAGGUUCAGUUCCUGGCCAAUGCA
rnacentral:tRNA from 1 species